UACGGAGGGUGCAAGCGUUGUUCGGAUUUACUGGGCGUAAAGCGCUCGCAGGUGGUUCGUUGCGUCGUGCGUGAAAGACCCCGGCUCAACUGGGGAGGGUCGUGCGAUACGGGCGAACUGGAGGCCAGUGGGGGGAUGCGGAAUUCCGGGUGUAGUGGUGGAAUGCGUAGAGAUCCGGAGGAACACCAGCGGCGAAGGCGGCAUCCUGGACUGGUCCUGACACUCAGGAGCGAAAGCGUGGGGAGCGAGUCCGG
rnacentral:rRNA from 1 species